rnacentral:rRNA from 1 species
UACGUAGGGUGCAAGCGUUGUCCGGAAUUAUUGGGCGUAAAGAGCUCGUAGGCGGUCUGUCGCGUCUGCUGUGAAAACUCGGGGCUUAACCCCGGGCCUGCAGUGGGUACGGGCAGACUAGAGUGCGGUAGGGGAGACUGGAAUUCCUGGUGUAGCGGUGAAAUGCGCAGAUAUCAGGAGGAACACCGAUGGCGAAGGCAGCCCCCUGGGCCAUUACUGACGCUGAGGAGCGAAAGCGUGGGGAGCGAACAGG